AACACACUGUGCCCUUCUAGCUGUGGUCUGUUAGUGGGGGACAGGACUUAACAUUCAGCUUCUGCAGUUGCUGUAUCCAAUGAAGAGACUUUCCCUGCAUAGAAGUCAUCAGCACAGACUAAUGCAAAAGGGACUAUUUGAGGUGUGGCUGAUAGCAGAAGCAGCUGUCCUUGCUCAUAGAAGAACACUGCUUCCAUGUCACAGCUGGACCCAUGCCAUGGAGCUGAUGCAACCAGGUGUGCCUCCAAUACAGCAUUUAGCAAGGGGAGAUGGUGAUUUUACAAAACAGACAUGGUUGCAAGUAAUGCCAACGGCAGAGGAAAGAAGACAUAUUUCAUUCUGAGGAGAGAAAGGCAAACGCACACACCCCCUCCUCUGUCUGCCCCCUUCCCUGGCAGAGGCCCAGGUCAACUGUCUCAGGGAACAACAACAGCAUUCCUGGUCUUCAGAAACCUCUGGAAGGAAACCAGAGCCAUACGUGUAUGUCUAAGCUCUUUCCCUUUUUGUGACAUAAGCCUGG
rnacentral:lncRNA from 1 species